rnacentral:misc_RNA from 1 species
GAUGAAGAACGUAGCGAAAUGCGAUAAGUAAUGUGAAUUGCAGAAUUCAGUGAAUCAUCGAAUCUUUGAACGCACAUUGCGCCCGCUAGUAUUCUGGCGGGCAUGCCUGUCCGAGCGUCAUUUCAACCCUCAAGCCCCCGGGCUUGGUGUUGGGGAUCGGCGAGCCUCCGCGCCCGCCGUCCCCUAAAUCUAGUCGCGGUCUCGCUGUAGCUUCCUCUGCGUAGUAGCACACCUCGCACUGGGAAACAGCGCGGCCACGCCGUUAAACCACCAACUUCUGAACGUUUGACCUCGGAUCAGGUAGGAAUACCCGCUGAACUUAAGCAUAUCAAUAAGCGGAGGA